ensembl:lncRNA
CUGACGUACAUCCCUAGGGUGCAAGCCCUUGCAGUCCUAAGCAUUUGCUGGUGAGAUGAUUGGUUAUUUAGAAGGUUCAAGAAAUGGAAGCCGCGGUAGGUGUGUGCCUGUGUGUUCUGGACCUAAGAAUGUGCUGAACUGUCCGCAGAUUUUACAGUGAAGAAUGAGGUAGGUAAUUGAUUUCUUUAUCAAGAUGCCGGGCGAUACAUUUUUCACGGCUUUCAAGGAGCACAGAAAAUCUAAAACCAUUGUCUGGCAGAUGCAGCUUUCAGCUGCAAUCAUCUUUAUCAUCAGCUGAGAAAACUACAGCUUAGAGAAGUAGAAGAAAAUGCAAAUUACACUGUUACGUCGGGGCCCCAGGACUGAAUCCAGGCCCGACCAACUCCUGAGUAUUAACACUGGACGAUUCCAUGUGGCUUUGCAUGCACUUCUCAGUGUUCUUCUAUUAAUAGAAUAAUAAAUAAUUGUAGGAUCAUAACGAUUACUAUUAUCCCUAAACUUCAUCAUUUGCUGAGUUGUGGGCACCGUACUGGGCUCCUCAUGUGCAUUCUUU